rnacentral:lncRNA from 1 species
UGGAGGGCGGUAAACAGAGUCAUCUCACUCCUUCCUGGCUUCACGGCUCAGGGUACCAGUGCGUCCAUCUGUGUGCGCUUACGUGGGAGAGAUACUGAACGUGCUUCCAGGAAAGCAUCCGGUCUUCCAGGCAACCACAUUCCCUUCCCCCAAGAAGCUGGGUCCCUGAUUGCUGAGAAAGACCUAUUUCUGCCAAACGGUCUU